ACAAGAAGAGUGAGUUCCUCUCGCCCUGCUCGCCUCCCACUGUCCUGGGCUUUUGAAUGGCUGCCCUUGUGGUUGUGUCUCUUGGUGCCUUGGUCUCCUGGAUCUCUAGUGGCAUGGCCUCCCUCUUACUCAGCUCUCCCUCCCUUUGACCGCUCCUCUUUUCCCACUUCCAUCAGUCCUGCAGUUGGCGGGCCAGCCCUUUGACCACUCCCCUAUCCGCUUCUGUGCCCGCAACGGGGAGUAUGUCACCAUGGACACCAGCUGGGCUGGCUUUGUGCACCCCUGGAGCCGCAAGGUAGCCUUCGUGUUGGGCCGCCACAAAGUACGCACGGCCCCCCUGAAUGAGGACGUGUUCACUCCCCCGGCCCCCAGCCCAGCUCCCUCCCUGGACACUGAUAUCCAGGAGCUAUCAGAGCAGAUCCACCGGCUGCUGCUGCAGCCCGUCCACAGCCCCAGCCCCACAGGACUCUGUGGAGUCGGCCCUGUGACAUCCCCAGGCCCUCUCCACAGCCCUGGGUCCUCCAGUGAUAGCAACGGGGGUGAUGCAGAGGGGCCUGGGCCU
rnacentral:sRNA from 1 species